AUCCCUACCCCAUAUUACCAUUAUAUCCCCUUGUGUUUAGCCUCUCUCCUAACAUUACCAUUAUACCCCUCCUCCUUUACCCUCUCUUCCCAUCUCCAGUUCGAUGCCGCCUCCGUUGGAUAGCCUUGCAGGUCCUUCUCCCCUUCAUCUUCUUCCUCAUGGAACCCUUUGCCUGAACUACUGCCCGAGUUGGAGAACAGUGGGGUUUUCAGAUUGGGUUUUCCGGCGUGUAGGACCACCACUGCACGAUCGCUGGCGUAGAUCUGAGGCGGUUCUGGCGCUGCUCCGACGCGGUCCUGAUGUUGCUUCGAGGCUGCUCCGUCACGGCACGAAGAGGCUGAAGCAGCGAGGUGAAUGGGACGCCCCCUGAGGCUUAAGGAUUACCACCCAGGUUGAGGAGUAUCAUUUUUAUGGUGACAAAUUUUUUUAAGGCAUUCUAUUCAUUGCUGAUUACAUCAUUAAACUAAUCAUUGCUCUUAAAUUAGCAUUCUUCCCAUCAACAUUGGUCUAAAAUCACGGUGCUGAAGUCGAAUGGUUAUUUGAUUUUUGCUUUGUGCUCAGAGAAAAUGGUUUGUAUCUUUGUUUUCAAUCACGUGUAGUUAGAGCAAUACGUGCUCAAAAUUAUUUAUUACUAUUUUGUCUUUAAAUUAAUUUAUGCCUAUCUAAGGAAAAUCAUAUUUGUAUAUGAGCCGAUGAGUUCAAUUGAUUGCCAACUUAUCUUGCUUUUAUUUUUGCAGUUCAGGAGGGUUGCUAAUAUCUACUUUCUUACAAUCUCAGUCUUGUCUACCAUACCCAUCAGCCCUGUCUCUCCAAUAACUAAUGUGCUUCCUCUAUCUCUGGUGCUUCUCCUCUCUCUUAUUAAGGAAGCUUUUGAGGACUGGAAGCGUUUUCAAAAUGACAUGGCAAUAAACAAUGGUACGAUAGAUGUACUGCGAGAUCGAGAAUGGGUGUCUAUACCCUGGAAAAAGUUGCAAGUUGGUGACCUAGUCAAGGUUAAGUCAGGAUGAAUUCUUUCCUGCAGAUCUGCUUUUCCUGGCUAGUACAAAUGUUGAUGGAGUCUGCUACAUUGAGACAACUAAUUUGGAUGGGGAAACCAAUUUGAAGAUUAGGAAAGCAUUGGAAAAGACUUGGGAUUACUUUACUCCAGAGAAGGCAUCUGAGUUCAAAGAGAUUAUGAUGGCAAAGUAACUCCUGAGAAGGUAGCAGCUGCUGCAAUGUACUUAAAGGGUAUACAAGAGCUCAUCACAUUUGAGAAACUACAAGGCCUCCCAAAUUGUUGUGGUGUAGUUGAUGUUACACACAUCAAU